rnacentral:rRNA from 1 species
UACGAAGGGGGCUAGCGUUGCUCGGAAUCACUGGGCGUAAAGCGCACGUAGGCGGAUCUUUAAGUCAGGGGUGAAAUCCCAAGGCUCAACCUUGGAACUGCCUUUGAUACUGGGGAUCUCGAGUCCGGAAGAGGUUGGUGGAACUGCGAGUGUAGAGGUGAAAUUCGUAGAUAUUCGCAAAGAACACCAGUGGCGAAGGCGGCCAACUGGUCCGGUACUGACGCUGAGGUGCGAAAGCGUGGGGAGCAAAGCAGGG